AUUUUUUCUUCUUAAAUUACAUCGAUUAGGCAACAAUAAGGUAUUGACAUCCGUGGCGCCAUUUAAACAUGACUUUUGUAGCCAUUGACUUGAAAUUACUUAUUUCAAUUUCCUAAUCCUUGCCUCCAGUCAGAAAUAAUUCUGAAGACUGAAGACGAAAAUGCUCUAGAAGGAAAUAUAAUUUUUUAUGUUCGAGAGAAUAAUUUUUAAAAAAACUGCCCUAUUUUUUUUGCUGUAGCGGGAAGACUCGUUAUUUCAAUUUUUUGUAUGCGAUUCAAAAGAAUAUAUUCAAUGAAUGUUGUAUCGAAGAACAAUAAAAACCACGCAUACUCUUAUGUAAAUACAUUAAUUUUUCGAAAUCAGGAGGGGGGGGGGCAUUUGCCCCCAUCCAUCCCCUAAAUGACAGGCCUGAAAAAGAGCAUCGAAGCUGGAUUACACUAGAUAAAUUUUUGAAAAACAAAAUAUUAUUUUUUGUUUUUAGCUUCUAUGGUUAUGAAAAGAGUUUCUUUUUCACUUUUUUAACUUUGUUGAUGAUUUUUAAAAAAAUCCGUAUUUUAAACCAUUGUUGUCAUUGUUUCAAACACCACGUUUCUCAGUAAACUGAUUUGACUCUCUUAAUUUAAAUACCUUCUCUUAGUUUGUUAAUUUCCUCAUCUGCCAUUUAUUUUUAGUAUACUGCUAAGUAAAAGAUUCUCUCAAUAUACUUUAUUCAUUCUUCACGUAUUUUUGAAAGUUGGACAAAACAAGAGUCGUAACUUUGUUUUCUCAGCAAUGGCAUUUUUAUGGCACCUUUUUUAUUUGUUUUUUAUAAAAACGAAAACAAUGAAGUUUAUGCGAAUUCUAUUAUUUUAUGCAUUUAUUUAUUGUUAUUUUAAUUGUUAUUUUCACCUUUAACCGCUAGAUGGCAGCAUUACUGACUGAUUUUUGAAUGAAGUCUGAGCUGCUGACCGUAACCGUGGACGGUGGAUAUGACGUCAGAAGGAAGGAAAGAGACACGAGACAUCACUGGAUUUAACUGUUCGAACUGUGUUUAUUUACAUUGUUUUCAUUCUCUUAGUCGUAUUUAAAACAAUGCUGUAUGAGUUUCGAACUAUAACUAGAGUUACACGUUUGUUUUCAUUUUAUCGUUUUCCCCCCUGAUGCUUCUGAUUGUGUUAUAUUAAGAGAAUUGUUCGAGCUCAAGAAUUAGUGAUGAAGAUAUUGUAUUGGAAAUCAUGGAUGAAAAUGAUGAUGAAGAUUUGAUGAAGAUCUAUUGCUAUCUAUUGAUUGAUGACACAUGAAGGACUGCAACCUAUAACAGAAGAGGGGUCCCGACGACACCACAAAUUACUGCCCCGUGUGUCACCCAUUCUAGGUAUCCUGUCCUGUUGUCUCUGCACAUACUGAGAUGCCCCAUUUUCUGAAGUGACACAAUGUAACACUGGAUGCUUCAACCAAAAGUCAUUAGACAUUUUCCUGGAUGCUGGUAUCAGAUGAGAUAGUUAAUUGCUAAAAACAUGCCCGAUGAAAUUUUUAUGUAUAUAUGGAUCAACAACACCCAAGUGUAUUUAUUCUAUGCAUUGGUGAAGGAAAGCUUUCUUCCAGUGCAUAUUUGUCUUGCAUCUUGAUUUAUAUUUAAAAAUCCUGGUGAAGCUACUUUGAGGAUUGUCCAUGUUAUGUAUAAAAUUAGCAUCCUUUGAAGUGCUAUUCCAGGAAAAUUCAGUGCUGCUCAUGGACCGACAAUACAGAAGAAUAAUAUUCAAGCAUUUAUGCAUUUUUUAUAUCUAUUAGUUGCAUACAUUUGUUAUCAGUGUUAUAUCACUGCAUUAUGUACUGUAGUAUCUGGUUUUAAUGCAAUGUUAAUGCCUGUAGUAGAACUGAUUUUAAUGUUGAAAAUAGACAUGCUAAAAGAUGUUUUCAAAAAAAAAAAAAAAAAAAAUGCUGCUCUAAUUUUUUUAUUUUGUAUUGAGUUUCUUCUUUUAGCAAUAGUAUGAAGGAAAUUUCAAUGGUUUUUAUUUUAUUUUUUUUUUUUUUUUGAAAGUUUUAAUCAAUAUCCUUUGCAUUCAUGCAUAAAUCUGAUAAAUAUUUUUCUAUGUGAAGCAAAAGUUAUUCAGUGGCAUAGUUUACUUUAGUUAUUUUCUUAUUAUAUGUAUUUUUUCCCCUGCUGUUGAUGUAGAAUACAUACUUUUCUCCUCUAAAAGCUGUUCCACACUCAUUCUUAUGCAUUUGAGUUAUUUUAAAUGCUUCUGUUAAGCAUUAAUAUCUUAUGAGUUUAAAGCAUUACUUUUUUGAAUGUAUAGAAACAUUUUGUCCGCAAAACUAAACUAAUUUGCCUGUAAACUGUCUUUUGAGUUAAAAUGUAGUUCAUAAAGUAUAGGGUAUAAUGCUCCUUUGAUACAAAAUGUACUUCUCAAAUUUCGCUCAUAUAAAAGUACUUUAAUGACCUAAUGCUCAGCCUCAUAGUUGACUUUAUUAUUUUAAGUAUGAUUUUUUUCAAUUUAUGGAAACACAAGCAUGAUUGAAAUUUAACAAAAAUGUAAUGAAUAUGUUUGUUUUAGUGCAGAUGAAAUGACUUGAUUGCAAUCUGUAACUUACUAAAAAUUAAGUUUUUUUAUAACCUCUACAACUUGCGCAUCGUCGUAAUUAUAUAUGAAAAAUUUAAAAUUUGUUAGAACUGCAAAGCUUUUUGUUGCACUCCAUUUUUAGAGGUUUGAGGUAGCUGAUCCAGGUCCUUCUUUGAAUGACCCUUUAUAAAAUAUUGUGUGCUACCUCAAUUUGGCAGCACUUACAUCUUUCUUCAGACAUACAAUUAGAUAUGAACAAUACUCUUGCAGGGUUGCCAACUGCUCUGCGAAAAUAGCAAAACUCCUCAGCUCCGCAAAGAAGUUCUUUUGCUCCGCAUUUCUUGGCUGAGUGCGAUUUCUAGCGAUCGAGCAAUCACCCCUUCACCUUUCUUCUGCCGUGAUCUUCCAUUCAGGAUUUUUGCUGAUGCAUAUACUCUUUCAAAAGCUAGAAAAAAGUUAGACACUUCGUCGUAUCGUGGGUGGGAGGGGGAACGGCUUAAAAGGGACGUUGCAAGCAUUAGCGCUAAUGCAUUUCAAAAUCGAUUGCAACCCCUCCCGUAACACUAGCUCAUUAUUGUCUACUAUGCCAGUAUACCACAUAAACCUUCAUAACCUUUUGUAGACUAUUAUUUUCAACCAUUCUUAUAUUUUAUUUUUUGCUGAAGACUUGUACACUCAUCAUUGCCAUGUCCAUUUUUCGACCAAGUUUUUACAAGCGAUCCACGCUAAUACCCAUUCACCUUGCAUGGGAAAUUAAAGAUGCUUAUACUUAAAGCAUGACAUAAUAGUGUUUAAAGCUGUUUUAUUAAUUUAAAUAUGAUUAUUUUUAUUGCUAGUGCUUAAAAUGAUUAUCAAGGCUCUAAAACAAUUUACGAUAAGUGGUGUUAGUUUUUUUUUUUUUUUACUGAUCUUGAUUAAAAAAAUACCGACUUGCUCUGCAAAAUUUCAAAAUGCUCCUCAAAAUCACUACAGAUGCUCCUCAAAUUGUUUCUCCAAGGUUGGCAACCCUGCACCUAGUAAUGCAAUACAUUAAACAUCUUACUUCAAGAACCCUAUCAUUCAUUCUCUACGAAAAGUUUUUGCUUGAGAAACUUUUUAAGUUAUAUAACAUAUAUUUGUGAUACAUACAUAUUUGAUACUUUACAUUGUCAACCUAAAAUGGAUUCCUAGAGAGGUAAGAAGCAUUGAAUCGGAAACAGUGGAUUGUGGGAUAUUUGAGGAUAUUAAUAUAGUACAAAGGUUGGGAAUAAAGUAGUGGCAACAUAAUACAGAAGGUAAUAGAAAAUCAGGCAUACUGAAAUAUAAUAUGGAAGCACUGAGGUGAUGCUAUUGUGGUUAUUUAUAGGGCAAUAAACGAGAUCUAGUUAGCAGAGGUAUUUUUAUAGUGUUGAACUACACUAUAAAAAUAGUAAGUUGGAACUGUUGUUUCUACCAUUCUAAAGUAUAUUAACAAAAGAUGAUCAGUGAUUGAAUUAAGAUAGGGUGGCCCAUGUAAAAAUGGCUGAAUUUUGUUAAGAAAUGUGUGAAGAAUGUGGAGAGAAUAUUACAGUGUGUAAGAUGGUUGCUCAAUGGGUCAGAAUGUUUUAUGUGGGUUAAAUGAGACUGACUUUACACUGCACAGGUUUUCUGUAAAUUUCUCAGCAUUAGAUUAUCCUCAUUGUCUGAGAUGCUAUUCAGAAGCAUCCAUUUCAUAAUGUUGUAUAUUAGAAACUUUUAUAAUGCUGACUUAUGUAACACAAUUCUCUUCAAACAGCAUAAAUUUUUUCGGAAGAAAGCAGUAAGUUUUACAGUUAAAAAAAGCCCUCUGUUUGGCUUUGCAAACAUAAAAAUUGUUAGUCAAAUUAAAUUUUGAAACAAUUUUUCAUCUUUCCAAGUAAUUCAAAGCUUUUAAAGGAAAAUUAGUUUUCACAAAAAAAAAAUAAUAAUAAUAACAUCGCUCUGGAAAGUAGCUCUUGUGCGAACUAUGAAACUAUGAAGCUAGCAUUAGUACAGGAUAAUUCACUUACCUUCUCUUUUUGAUU